AAGAGCAGGGAGGUGAGAAAGGAAAGGUGCUGCUAUCCUAUCUAGGUGCACAGAGAGACACACACACCAAGGAUGGAGACAGUUUAUUGUUAUACCAAAAAUAUACCCGCGCGCGCGCACGUGUGUGUGUGUGUAUGCAGAAAUAAAGGAUCAGAAGGCCAUAAACCCAAGUAUCAUUAGCAUUUAUAUCUAGGUGCAGCAUUAAGGCUGAAUUCCCCUUUCUUUGCAUUUUAUUUUACACUGAAUGUAUAUCCUAUUUACAAUAGAGUGAAACAAUAAAGCUGUCUUCUUUUGGAAAUCAAGGCACCAUUAUCAUCCACAUCUUCACCAGGACUGUAGCUGGGGGCUCAGGGGAGUAGGGAUGAAGAUGUCUCUCUCUCAGAAACCAGGAAGAGCCAACCUGAGACUCCCCACUCCCCAACUCAUCCUUAUUCCUCCUCCACUGCCCGUGGCCAUCAGUGUGGGGUCAGGAGAUCCAGACCAUCCUUGCUAACACAAUGAAAACCUAUCUCUAUUAAAA